AUUGUAAGUCCCAAUAUCAGCCAAAUAACGUUAUUGCCUCUUGGCACCAGAAUUAGAAGAUUGUUGGUAUGGCAGCUGAUUGGAUGAGACACCCUUCAGGGCAAAAAAAUAAUACAAAAUAAUGAAAAAGCUUACUGGGAGGGGCUUAUGGAGCCUCCUAGAACCAAGCACCCAGUGUGAUGCAAACAUAUCCCAUAGAAGCUUGUUUAGCCCCCUUGAGGAGUUAAACAUUUCCUGCUUCAGGAGUAUGAAGAUCAGAAGCAUUUUUGGAUUUUGAUUACUGAAAAAACACACUGACAAUACCGUCCAACGUUUAAAUAUUAUGUUAUAUGCAACAAGAUCAGGGAACAGAAAAGUGUGAAUAUUAGAGAGAUGUUUAAUAUAAAAAGAUACCAGGGCAAUGGCCCCCAUUUAUGAUGAUGCAUAUGGACCAGGUUCUCAUUAAGACAACCUGUUUGCACACAUUUGGGGCCUUGGGAUUGGCAAGAACUGCCAGAAUUUAAGCACGCAGCCCCGCCCCCUGCUCAUGUCUAACCAAUUGUGUACCAGCAGGGUUUAUAAGUCAUUCCGGAAAAGCACGCCCUAGCUAUUUGACAUUUCAAGCCUCUGAUGUUACAGGCAUAUUUAGGAAGCAGCUGCUGAAUAACUUUCGAUUGCUGGUUCACACGAUCGAGCCCGCACUGAAACAGUCUAGAAGCUACUUAAGCAGCUUCAUAAAUGGGGGCAAAUGUAUAUAAUAAUAUAUUAAAAAAUAUAAGUCCUGAUGGAAAAAAAUAUACUCCAGUGUUAUGUAUGUCACAUGAAUAGAAACCAUUAGGAAGAAUACCCUCUUUUAAAUUAAUGCAAAAUAAGGCCGUGAUAUACAAAUUGUACUGUUUUAUUAAAAUGGCACCUUGAUAAAAUUAUGUAAAUGUACUGGCUGAAAAAACAGCCUACAAACAAACUCAACUCCCUAUGAAGGAUGCAAAUAAAUAUAAUUAUGAUUGAAAUUAUAAUGAUCCCUUGCUGUAUUAAAAUGCUUAAUACUGACAUAGUAAA